UUGAACGCUGGCGGCAUGCUUUACACAUGCAAGUCGAACGGUAACAGGCCUUCGGGUGCUGACGAGUGGCGAACGGGUGAGUAAUGCAUCGGAACGUACCCAGAGGUGGGGGAUAACGCAGCGAAAGCUGUGCUAAUACCGCAUGUGAUCUGAGGAUGAAAGCGGGGGACCGAGCAGCAAUGUUUGGCCUCGCGCCUUUGGAGCGGCCGAUGUCGGAUUAGCUAGUUGGUGGGGUAAAGGCCUACCAAGGCGACGAUCCGUAGCUGGUCUGAGAGGACGACCAGCCACACUGGGACUGAGACACGGCCCAGACUCCUACGGGGGGCAGCAGUGGGGAAUUUUGGACAAUGGGCGCAAGCCUGAUCCAGCAAUGCCGCGUGCGGGAAGAAGGCCUUCGGGUUGUAAACCGCUUUUGGCAGGAACGAAACGGUGUCCGCUAAUACCGGGCGCUAAUGACGGUACCUGCAGAAUAAGCACCGGCUAACUACGUG
rnacentral:rRNA from 1 species